rfam:Stereum hirsutum FP-91666 SS1 unplaced genomic scaffold STEHIscaffold_2, whole genome shotgun sequence.
GACUCCAUAGCUCAGUGGUUUAGAGCAUGCGAUUGCAGAUCGCAGGGUCGCGUGUUCAAAUCACGCUGGGGUCU